rnacentral:lncRNA from 1 species
UAAGAAGCCCAGAAUCGGACUCUGGAUCUUUCAUAAGGAUCUUCUGGAAAUAGUCGAGGUUCAUUGUUCCAUGUCUCAUCAAUGUAUUCAAGAAUGACAAAGGACUCCGAUACUGGCUUUCCAUUAUGGACUAGUACAGGCACUUUCUUAUGAAUGGGAUUGUAUUUGAGCAGCAAUGGACUUUUGUUGCUUAAAUCUUCUUCUACAUACUCAAAAGUUAUGCCUUUGACUUUGAGAGCCAGUUGUACUCUAUUCACAUAGGGGCUAAUCCACAUUCCAUGUAGAGUGACCUUAUUUUCCUCUCCCAUUUUGGUCUCUCAGAUUGUUUGAGAGAAUUUAGAUGUUUAAGUUUGUUAUAUACCAUAAAUUUCCUCAACAUUUUCUCGAACCUUCGAUUAAGUCAUCCAAGACCAGGCAAAUUGUUUUUUGUUUCACAGUAAGCCGGGACCAGAACUCUCUAUAGUCAAAUUUGACUAGAAUAUUUUAAAAGAAUUGACGUAAGUGAUAGGAGUAAUACUAUAUGUUCUCUGCAUUUUGACCUGCCAGCCGAUAAUGAUUUAUGAUGAUAGCAAUGACCUUAGCUGCCCAUUUCUUGGGGCCAAAUUGCCAAAGUGGUGUGGAAGAAAGAAAUAGUCUUUUCCCUUUUGUUUUCUGGGGAUGUGGAGAUGGAGCUAGUUGACGGCAAAGUUACAAUGUUUGAAUUGGAUUUUUCUUUCCGAAGAAAAUUACAUUGUAGUUUUAGGUAAGAAAAAAAUUCUUAAGUAUACAUUCAAAUUGUUGAAUUCCAUCGACGCAUGAGAAACUUUUAGUGUAAUGAUAAAUGUGGGUCAAAAAUUACUUUAGGUUGUUGGUUUGAAUCUCAAGUCACCCUCCAUCAUUUUCUGAAUCUCCUGUUUAGUGGCGAUGUACAAAGUCAUGACCAAAAUUUUAACCAUGGUUAUUACUUAAUACUAAAAUAAAUCUGCACCCCCGCAUUUAAAAAAAAAAGAAAAAGAAAAAAAAAAGGUAGUCUGAUGCAGUAAGCUCUUGCUAUGCGUGGGGUACAGAGAAGGGUCGGACCACAAGGAUUUAUUGUACGCAGUCUUACCCUACAUUUCUACAAUGUGCACAACCCCUCCCCCCCUCCAAACCCCCAUGUUGCUUGGAAAAUAAAGAGAAUUAAUGUGAUCGGGGGAAUAACAAAAUCGAGCCUCCCAAAGAGGCAGUGAUAUCCGCACUUCAGACAAUCAAACAUAGCCCGCUCGUUGUUGGAAAUUUUAUUUGUUAUGUGUCAUUUUGAAGUCUUUAUUUUCGGUUGAAGACAAUUAGACAAACUAGAGCCUGAGAGAACAAAAAGCGCUUGAUUGUUGGAGAAUAAGAAGAAUGAUACUAGUGUGACCUUGUUAUUUAGUUGCAUAUAUUUCAAAUAUGGAGCAGAUGUUUAAUUUGCAUUGAUAUGGUACCUAAUGGAUAACUUGGGAGUUCCAAUAGAAUCUUUUUUAUUCAAGUGGAGUAUUAGUUUGAGUAAGUAAUAUAAAGUUAAAAAUUAAGCUAAUUAUAAGAAAAAAUAAUUUUGGCGCAUAAAUUAAAUGAGGAAAGUCAUUUGAUAGAAAUAUCAGAACAUUACUUGCUCAUGAAUAACAUUUUUUCUGGAUGAUAACUUUCUGUUGUAUAAACACACACUCAAAAUAUAAGUAGCCUUUGGAAUCCAAAUGGCCAUAAGCCUUAUUAUAUUAUACAAUACAGAGGAGAAGACAUUGAGUACAAUUAAUGAGUGGAGUAGACAAAAGAGACAGAGAUGGACAUAAACACAAAAAAGGUCAAUUGGCCGGAGCUUUGAAGACGAUGUCUUUGAGAAAAUGAAGAAAUGAAAGCACCUUGUCAUAAGGGGGAGUGAUUUCCUUAACUAUAGGCAGCUCAAUUAAACUAGUCAACCAUGAGUAUAAGAGGGGUGUCUUCUCUGCAUCCAAUAUCUUCACACCAAACACUAGCUCUUGUGCUUUGUAUGCCCCUAGUGUAAUAAUGAUCAUGAUAUCUAGCAACCCCAUAUUCCUUCCUUCUAUAUUAGUGGUUAUCUCCAGGGAGGAAUUCUUAAUUCCAUUUUCGAGUACGCUCAAUUUCUCAUAAAAUUCCUCUAAUGCUUUUUCUUCCCCUUUGAAGACCUUGAGCAUGCAUUCAGUCACCUGCGCAUAAGAGUUGUCAAUGUCAAUAAAAAUCAAUUGAAUCAAUAUUUUUUUGAAGUAAAAUCAUAAGUUUCAAUGUGUAUAUAUAUAUAUAUACCAAAAAAUUAGGAUAAGUUUUUAAUUUUAUGGAAGAGAUUAAAAAAUAUUACAAGGGGUUCCCAUAAUAUAUCUGAAUUAAGUACAAAAUAUUAUUCAACCAAGUUUUUGUGUUGAUAUAGGGGGUUUAAGUGUUAGAUUUCAAAAUAUAGGGUGUGUAUCUGCAGUUAAGUCAUAUUAGAGAAGUAUUUAGUGUAAUUUGUCCUUUUUUUACCUCAACCCCGUUCCCUUUAUCUUGACUUGGGAUAGACAAAACUCGUACACAUAGUAAACACAUCAUGAUUCAUGGCAUCCAUGAAUGAAAAAUCUUGAACCAUGUGAAAAUGGGUAGAAAGAAGUGAUAAGAAUUACCUGUUGGAUGUAAGAAGCCCAGAAUCGAACUCUGGAUCUUUCAUAAGGAUCUUUUGGAAAAAGUCGAGGUUCAUUGUUCCAUGUCUCAUCAAUGUAUUCAAGAAUGACAAAAGACUCCGAUACUGACUUUCCAUUAUGGACAAGUACAGGCACUUUCUUAUGAAUGGGAUUGUAUUUGAGCAGCAAUGGACUUUUGUUGCUUAAAUCUUCUU